UACGAAGGGGCUAGCGUUGUUCGGAAUUACUGGGCGUAAAGCGCGCGCAGGCGGUCUUCCAAGUCAGUGGUGAAAGCCCGGAGCUCAACUCUGGAACUGCCUUUGAUACUGGGUAUCUUGAGUAUGGAAGAGGUAAGUGGAAUUGCGAGUGUAGAGGUGAAAAUUCGUAGAUAUUCGCAGGAACACCAGUGGCGAAGGCGGCUUACUGGUCCAUAACUGACGCUGAGGUGCGAAAGCGUGGGGAGCAAACAGGG
rnacentral:rRNA from 1 species